GUGCUCGCUUUGGCAGCACAUAUACUAACAUUGGAAUGACACAGAGAAGAUUACCACGCCCCCUGCGCAAUGGACGACACACAGAUUUGUGAAGUGUUCCAUAUUUUU